CAGUAUUAAUAAAGGAGAGAAGGUUAGCACUCCCCUGACAAGAGGCUCCUCAGGCCUGACAAUAUGCAUGUGGUUAAGGCAUUGCCAUCUAUUUCAUGGCAUCCAAUCAUCAUUUUUU
ensembl:snRNA RNA, U6atac small nuclear 8, pseudogene